UGCAAGUCGAGCGGACAGAAGGGAGCUUGCUCCCGGAUGUUAGCGGCGGACGGGUGAGUAACACGUGGGUAACCUGCCUGUAAGACUGGGAUAACUCCGGGAAACCGGAGCUAAUACCGGAUAGUUCCUUGAACCGCAUGGUUCAAGGAUGAAAGACGGUUUCGGCUGUCACUUACAGAUGGACCCGCGGCGCAUUAGCUAGUUGGUGGGGUAAUGGCUCACCAAGGCGACGAUGCGUAGCCGACCUGAGAGGGUGAUCGGCCACACUGGGACUGAGACACGGCCCAGACUCCUACGGGAGGCAGCAGUAGGGAAUCUUCCGCAAUGGACGAAAG
rnacentral:rRNA from 1 species